CAGCGCGAGAGAGCUUGCUCUCUUGGCGGCGAGUGGCGGACGGGUGAGUAAUAUAUCGGAACGUGCCCAGUAGCGGGGGAUAACUACUCGAAAGAGUGGCUAAUACCGCAUACGCCCUACGGGGGAAAGGGGGGGAUCGCAAGACCUCUCACUAUUGGAGCGGCCGAUAUCGGAUUAGCUAGUUGGGGGGUAAAGGCUCCCAAGGCAACGAUCCGUAGCUGGUUUGAAGGACACCAGCCACACUGGGACUGAACACGGCCCAACUCCUACGGGAGGCAGCAGUGGGGAAUUUUGGACAAUGGGGGAAACCCUGAUCCAGCCAUCCCGCGUGUAUGAUGAAGGCCUUCGGGUUGUAAAGUACUUUUGGCAGAGAAGAAAAGGUACCUCCUAAUACGAGGUACUGCUGACGGUAUCUGCAGAAUAAGCACCGGCUAACUACGUGCCAGCAGCCGCGGUAAUACGUAGGGUGCAAGCGUUAAUCGGAAUUACUGGGCGUAAAGCGUGUGUAGGCGGUUCGGAAAGAAAGAUGUGAAAUCCCAGGGCUCAACCUUGGAACUGCAUUUUUAACUGCCGAGCUAGAGUAUGUCAGAGGGGGGUAGAAUUCCACGUGUAGCAGUGAAAUGCGUAGAUAUGUGGAGGAAUACCGAUGGCGAAGGCAGCCCCCUGGGAUAAUACUGACGCUCAGACACGAAAGCGUGGGGAGCAAACAGGAUUAGAUACCCUGGUAGUCCACGCCCUAAACGAUGUCAACUAGCUGUUGGGGCCGUUAGGCCUUAGUAGCGCAGCUAACGCGUGAAGUUGACCGCCUGGGGAGUACGGUCGCAAGAUUAAAACUCAAAGGAAUUGACGGGGACCCGCACAAGCGGUGGAUGAUGUGGAUUAAUUCGAUGCAACGCGAAAAACCUUACCUACCCUUGACAUGUCUGGAAAGCCGAAGAGAUUUGGCCGUGCUCGCAAGAGAACCGGAACACAGGUGCUGCAUGGCUGUCGUCAGCUCGUGUCGUGAGAUGUUGGGUUAAGUCCCGCAACGAGCGCAACCCUUGUCAUUAGUUGCUACGCAAGAGCACUCUAAUGAGACUGCCGGUGACAAACCGGAGGAAGGUGGGGAUGACGUCAAGUCCUCAUGGCCCUUAUGGGUAGGGCUUCACACGUCAUACAAUGGUCGGGACAGAGGGUCGCCAACCCGCGAGGGGGAGCCAAUCUCAGAAACCCGAUCGUAGUCCGGAUCGCAGUCUGCAACUCGACUGCGUGAAGUCGGAAUCGCUAGUAAUCGCGGAUCAGAAUGUCGCGGUGAAUACGUUCCCGGGUCUUGUACACACCGCCCGUCACACCAUGGGAGUGGGUUUCACCAGAAGUAGGUAGCCUAACCG
rnacentral:rRNA from 1 species